UAAUUGAAGAGUUUGAUCAUGGCUCAGAUUGAACGCUGGCGGCAGGCCUAACACAUGCAAGUCGGGCGGUAACAGAGAGAAGCUUGCUUCUCUGCUGACGAGCGGCGGACGGGUGAGUAAUGUAUGGGGAUCUGCCUGAUGGCGGGGGAUAACUACUGGAAACGGUAGCUAAUACCGCAUAAUGUCUUCGGACCAAAGCGGGGGACCU
rnacentral:rRNA from 1 species